rnacentral:rRNA from 1 species
UACGGGGGGAGCAAGCGUUGUUCGGAUUUACUGGGCGUAAAGGGCGCGUAGGCGGCGUGACAAGUCACUUGUGAAAUCUCCGGGCUUAACCCGGAGCGGCCAAGUGAUACUGUCGUGCUAGAGUGCGGAAGGGGCUACUGGAAUUCUCGGUGUAGCGGUGAAAUGUGUAGAUAUCGAGAGGAACACCUGCGGCGAAGGCGGGUAGCUGGGCCGACACUGACGCUGAGGCGCGAAAGCCAGGGGAGCGAACGGG